rnacentral:rRNA from 1 species
UACGUAGGCAGCAAGCGUUGUUCGGAAUUACUGGGCGUAAAGAGUGUGUAGGCGGUGCUUUAAGUCUGUUGUGAAAUCUCCCGGCUUAACUGGGAGGGUGCGGCGGAGACUGGAGUGCUAGAGUGUGGGAGAGGUAAGCGGAAUUCCUGGUGUAGCGGUGAAAUGCGUAGAUAUCAGGAGGAACACCUGUGGUGUAGACAGCUUACUGGACCACGACUGACGCUGAGACACGAAAGCGUGGGUAGCAAACAGG